rnacentral:rRNA from 1 species
AGGCAAACCUAGGGAACUGAAACAUCUAAGUACCUAGAGGAAAAGAAAUCAAUUGAGAUUCCGGUAGUAGCGGCGAGCGAAACCGGAUCAGCCCUUAAGCUUAAUUUAGUUCAGCAAAAUAUUCUGGAAAGUUUAGCCAUAGUAGGUGAUAGCCCUGUAUGUGAAAGACUAAUUUAAGUGAAAUCGAGUAGGUCGGGACACGUGAAAUCUUGACUGAAUAUGGGGGGACCAUCCUCCAAGGCUAAAUACUCUAUGCUGACCGAUAGUGAACCAGUACCGUGAGGGAAAGGCGAAAAGAACCCCGGCGAGGGGAGUGAAAUAGAACCUGAAAUCUUGUGCUUACAAGCAGUCGGAGCAGACUUGUUCUGUGACGGCGUACCUUUUGUAUAAUGGGUCAACGACUUAAUUUCAGUAGCAAGCUUAACCAAUUAGGGAAGGCGUAGGGAAACCGAGUCUUAAUAGGGCGUUCAGUUGCUGGGAUUAGACCCGAAACCGGGUGAUCUAUCCAUGGCCAGUGUGAAGGUCGAGUAACAUCGACUGGAGGCGCGAACCCACUUAUGUUGAAAAAUGAGGGGAUGAGCUGUGGAUAGGAGUGAAAGGCUAAUCAAACCCGGAGAUAGCUGGUUCUCUUCGAAAACUAUUUAGGUAGUGCCUCGUGUAUUACCAUAGGGGGUAGAGCACUGUUUCGGCUAGGGGGUCAUCCCGACUUACCAAACCGAUGCAAACUCCGAAUACCUAUGAGUAUGAGCACGGGAGACAGACUGCGGGUGCUAACGUCCGUAGUCGAGAGGGAAACAACCCAGACUGUCAGCUAAGGUCCCUAAUUAUGAUUAAGUGGGAAACAAUGUGGGAAGGCACAAACAGCUAGGAGGUUGGCUUAGAAGCAGCCACCCUUUAAAGAAAGCGUAAUAGCUCACUAGUCGAGUCGGCCUGCGUGGAAGAUAUAACGGGGCUAAAUCAUAAACCGAAGCUACAGAUCUUGUUUCAAGAUGGUAGGAGAGCGUUCUGUAAGCCACUGAAGGUAAGCUGAGAGGCGAACUGGAGGUAUCAGAAGUGCGAAUGUUGACAUGAGUAACGAUCAAAGAGGUGAAAAACCUCUUCGCCGAAAAACCAAGGGUUCCUGUCCAACGCUAAUCGAGGCAGGGUGAGUCGGCCCCUAAGGCGAGGGCGAAAGCCGUAGUCGAUGGGAAACAGGUUAAUAUUCCUGUACUUUUUACAAUUGCGAUGGGGUGACGGAGAAGGUUAAGUCAGCACGGCGAUGGUUGUCCGUGUUUAAGGUUGUAGGCCGAUGUUUUAGGUAAAUCCGAAAUAUCAAAGCUGAGAACUGAUGACGAUCACUUUUAAGUGAGAAGUGGCUGAUACCAUGCUUCCAGGAAAAACCUCUAAGCUUAAAUUGUAAGAAACCGUACCCUAAACCGACACAGGUGGUUAGGUCGAGUAGACCAAGGUGUUUGAGAGAACUAUGGUGAAGGAACUAGGCAAAAUAGCACCGUAACUUCGGGAGAAGGUGCGCCGCGGUUAGUGAUGAGACUUGCUCUCUAAGCUGAACGUGGUCGAAGAUACCAGGUGGCUGCGACUGUUUACUAAAAACAUAGCACUCUGCAAACUCGUAAGAGGACGUAUAGGGUGUGACGCCUGCCCGGUGCCGGAAGGUUAAUUGAUGGGGUUAGCUUAUGCGAAGCUCUUGAUCGAAGCCCCGGUAAACGGCGGCCGUAACUAUAACGGUCCUAAGGUAGCGAAAUUCCUUGUCGGGUAAGUUCCGACCUGCACGAAUGGCGUAACGAUGGCCACACUGUCUCCACCCAAGACUCAGUGAAAUUGAAAUCGCUGUUAAGAUGCAGUGUACCCGCGGCUAGACGGAAAGACCCCGUGAACCUUUACUAUAGCUUCACACUGGACUUUGACUUUAUUUGUGUAGGAUAGCUGGGAGGCUUUGAACUAUGGACGCCAGUUCAUAGGGAGCCGACCUUGAAAUACCAGCCUGGUAACGUUGAGGUUCUAACCUAGGUCCAUUAUCUGGAUCGGGGACAGUGUGUGGUGGGUAGUUUGACUGGGGCGGUCUCCUCCCAAAGAGUAACGGAGGAGCACGAAGGUGCGCUAAUCACGGUCGGAAAUCGUGAGGUUAGUGUAAAGGCACAAGCGCGCUUGACUGCGAGUCUGACAAGACGAGCAGGUACGAAAGUAGGUCUUAGUGAUCCGGUGGUUCUGUAUGGAAGGGCCAUCGCUCAACGGAUAAAAGGUACU